GAUGAUCAGGUUGAUAGGUCAGAGGUGGAAGCGUGGCGACAUGUGUAGCUGACUGAUACUAAUCGAUCGAGGACUUAACCAA
rnacentral:rRNA from 1 species